UAGGGAUGUAAUUAGAGAAAUUGAUGAGGCAAGCUUAGGUAAGUAGGCGAAGAAUCUUAGAAUUAGCAGCCAAGCAGGCCCGCCAACAACUAUUUGGUUGCCCCGUCAACUUCCUACGUGCCAUGAAAUGUCGCUUUUGUCCGUUAGGAAUUUCAUUUUUAUAAUUUAAUUUAUUAUUAAUAUCAUAAUGUCCUUCCCCUUUUUAAAGUCCCAAAAUCGCAAUUGAUGACAUUAAAAAGGGUUUUAGGUAAGAUAUCAGUAUUUCACAACUCAUCUAAAUGAUUUUGGAUCAUGUUUUACACGACUACAACUCCACAGUUUGGUAAACUAUCACAAUUUCGA
rnacentral:misc_RNA from 1 species